UUGUGUGUGUUUAAAUACAGUUGUUUUGCUGACCAUUGAUAGCUUGCAGCUGAUUACUAAGCAAAAGCUGCUCGUGCUCGUCAAUCUUUAAAAUAUUGAAUAUUUUAACUCUCUGACUCUAACACUAAAUAGCCUAUAUUUUGUUUAGCUUUGAAUGAUUUAUAGUAAGAUAAUAAACAAUCACGGUCACACUAUCUGAUAAAACUGACUUAGUGGAGGAAGAUACUUAUUAUUCAAGAAAUAUAGUUAUUUUUUGAGAUAUUCAUUGACUGAAGGCACAAUCAUCUCAGGUUUCAUUAAGGAAAGACAGAGAAGGUGGUCUAAAUAAACCACACCCACAUGAAAGCUUCACAAUAGGCUUCUACAAUCAGACAUUUACUGUUCAGCUUCAGUUUAUAAAGCCAGUAAAUCUUCUCAACAUGGAGAAAUGCUUUCUGCUGAUUCUUCUGUCUGUGCCAGGGUUUCUGUCUGACAGCAUUAAACCAAAAGACAAAGAAACUGAUAUUUACAGAAAUGAAGAAGAGCGUGUAACUCUGAGCUGCUCGUAUGAUACAAGCAGCAAUUAUGUCUAUCUCUACUGGUACAGACAGUAUCCUAAUAAAGAACCUGAAUAUUUACUGUAUAAAGGUGCUCGAUCACGGGACGGUUAUGAGGAUAUACCAGACCCUCAACGGUUUCAGUCGACUACAUCCCAAACGUCCACUGAACUCAUUAUUAACAGUGUGACUCUGUCAGAUUCAGCUCUCUAUUAUUGUGCUCUAAGAGUUGGAGCCCAGUGAUACAAAGUCUAUGUGAAGCUGUACAAAAACUGAAAAUUAUUUUUCACUUUGAUCUCAAGCCACAUCAAACCCACAAUCUAUA